GACGAACGCUGGCGGCGUGCCUAAUACAUGCAAGUAGAACGCUGAAGCUUGGUGCUUGCACCGAGCGGAUGAGUUGCGAGCGGGUGAGUAACGCGUAGGUAACCUGCCUGGUAGCGGGGGAUAACUAUUGGAAACGAUAGCUAAUACCGCAUAAUAGUAGAUGUUGCAUGACAUUUGCUUAAAAGGUGCAAUUGCAUCACUACCAGAUGGACCUGCGUUGUAUUAGCUAGUUGGUGAGGUAACGGCUCACCAAGGCAACGAUACAUAGCCGACCUGAGAGGGUGAUCGGCCACACUGGGACUGAGACACGGCCCAGACUCCUACGGGAGGCAGCAGUAGGGAAUCUUCGGCAAUGGACGGAAGUCUGACCGAGCAACGCCGCGUGAGUGAAGAAGGUUUUCGGAUCGUAAAGCUCUGUUGUAAGAGAAGAACGAGUGUGAGAGUGGAAAGUUCACACUGUGACGGUAUCUACCAG
rnacentral:rRNA from 1 species